rfam:Schistosoma rodhaini strain Burundi genome assembly, scaffold: SROB_scaffold0000554
AUCCAGCUGACGAGUCCUAAAUAGAAAGAAACGCGCGUCAAACUGGAU